UUUUCAGGUCAGCGAAACGCAAGUUAUCGAUGUUAUCAAGCAAGGAGCAGGGGAACAUCCAGCAACACCUGCUAUAAGCACAUUGGAGAAACGCAUUGAGGAGCUCGGCCACCGAUUUGUGAUCGAGCGUGCCGUGGCUGAAGGAGCCAAACGUGCCAUCAAGGCAUUAGAUCAUGGAAAGCCACUUGCUGAGGCUCAAUCAAUAUUAAACCAGGCAAAUGAAAAGCUGGACCU